rnacentral:tRNA from 1 species
GGGGAUGUAGCUCAACUGGGAGAGCGUCUGCUUUGCACGCAGAAGGUCGCAGGUUCGAUCCCUGUCAUCUCCA